UGUCCGGAAUUAUUGGGCGUAAAGAGCUCGUAGGCGGUUUGUCGCGUCUGCUGUGAAAACCCGAGGCUCAACCUCGGGCCUGCAGUGGGUACGGGCAGACUAGAGUGCGGUAGGGGAGAAUGGAAUUCCUGGUGUAGCGGUGGAAUGCGCAGAUAUCAGGAGGAACACCGAUGGCGAAGGCAGUUCUCUGGGCCGUUACUGACGCUGAGGAGCGAAAGCGUGGGGAGCGAACAGGAUUAGAUACCCUGGUAGUCAAGGGCG
rnacentral:rRNA from 1 species